rnacentral:ncRNA from 1 species
ACGCAACUCUGGAGAGAGCUGUAGUAUAACAAUAGCAGCCACCAAAGGGGAAAGCCGACUAAUUGGCAGUAUCAACCAUGCGAGUUAGUCUGGUGUAACUUUCAGGUGCAAGGACAGAGAA